AAUCAACCACGUAGUAGAAGUCCUGUCCGGUAUGGACUAGGAGCAGUCACCGACUCGGUUUUGUAAUAGGCUCGCAGCUAAUAUAAAUACUCGUGUACCCCUACGUUGUAACAUCAGAUCAAACAAAGCAAUAAAAAUCCAAAGGCUCGACACGAGCCUUUUGCGAUCAACUCAAGCGUGUCUCCUGUGCUUGUUUCUUGUGCUAAGCUAGCUAGACAUCCAAAGCAUCCACCAGGCUGCCUGCUUGCUAGCUUAGCUAGUACGUGCGUAUUGCGUCUCCGUCGUCCGGCGACUCGGAAGCUAAUCGGACAAGCUCGUACACGUAUAUUGUCGGAAGGCGUCAAAUGGUCGAAGAAGCUAGUGCACGAAUUUCAAUUUCCCGGCCUCCUAACAAGGAUGCGUGAAGAUCUGGAGAGAUUUGUUGUUGCAACACCUUGUCGCGCUUUUCUUCUUGCUAUACUUUUCAGUAGCUGAAGCUUUGCCCUGCUUUACCGACAAAUCAGCUUUUGGUAGUUGUAGCACAAACCUUGUUUUGCACUGGUGCCUUUCUCAAGCAUUUUAAGAUGUGAAUUCAGUUC